rnacentral:rRNA from 1 species
GAUGAACGCUGGCGGCGUGCCUAAUACAUGCAAGUCGAGCGAACAGACGAGGAGCUUGCUCCUCUGACGUUAUCGGCGGACGGGUGAGUAACACGUGGAUAACCUACCUAUAAGACUGGGAUAACUUCGGGAAACCGGAGCUAAGACCGGAUAAUAUAUUGAACCUCAUUGUUCAAUAGUGAAAUACGGUUUUUCUGUCACUUAUAGAUGGAUCCGCGCCGCAUUAGCUAGUUGGUAAGGUAACUGCUUAACAAGGCAACGAUGCGUAGACGCCCUGAGAGCGUGAUCGGCCACCCUGGAAGUGAGACACGGUACAGACUCCUACGGGAGGAAGCAGUAGGGAAUCUUCCGCAAAGGGCGAAAGCCUGACGGAGCACCGCCGCGUGAGUGAUGAAGGUCCUCGGAUCGUAAAACUCUGUUAUUAGGGAAGAACAAAUGUGUAAGUAACUAUGCACGUCUUGACGGUACCUAAUCAGAAAGCCACGGCUAACUCCGUG